CCUCUGACGUUAGCGGCGGACGGGUGAGUAACACGUGGGUAACCUACCUAUAAGACUGGGAUAACUCCGGGAAACCGGGGCUAAUACCGGAUAACACAUGAAACCGCAUGGUUUCAUGAUGAAAGACGGUUUUGCUGUCACUUAUAGAUGGACCCGCGGCGUAUUAGCUAGUUGGUAAGGUAACGGCUUACCAAGGCAACGAUACGUAGCCGACCUGAGAGGGUGAUCGGCCACACUGGAACUGAGACACGGUCCAGACUCCUACGGGAGGCAGCAGGG
rnacentral:rRNA from 1 species